UACAGAGGGGCGAAGCGUUGUUCGGAAUUACUGGGCGUAAAGGGCGCGUAGGCGGCCUCCUAAGUCGAACGUGAAAUCCCUGGGCUCAACCCAGGAACUGCGUUCGAUACUGGGAGGCUUGAAUUCGGGAGAGGGAUGCGGAAUUCCAGGUGUAGCGGUGAAAUGCGUAGAUAUCUGGAGGAACACCGGUGGCGAAGGCGGCAUCCUGGACCGGCAUUGACGCUGAGGCGCGAAAGCCA
rnacentral:rRNA from 1 species